UGGGGAAUUGUUCACAAUGGGCGCAAGCCUGAUGACGCAACGCCGCGUGGGGGAUGAAGGUCUUCGGAUUGUAAACCCCUGUCGAACGGGACGAACGGCCUCUGGGCUAAUCACCAGAGGAGUGACGGUACCGUUAAAGGAAGCCACGGCUAACUCUGUGCCAGCAGCCGCGGUAAUACAGAGGUGGCAAGCGUUGUUCGGAAUUACUGGGCGUAAAGGGCGCGUAGGCGGCCAUCUAAGUCAGACGUGAAAUCCCCCGGCUUAACCUGGGAACUGCGUCUGAUACUGGAAGGCUCGAGUUUGGGAGAGGGAUGUGGAAUUCCAGGUGUAGCGGUGAAAUGCGUAGAUAUCUGGAGGAACACCGGUGGCGAAGGCGGCAUCCUGGACCAACACUGACGCUGAGGCGCGAAAAGCUAGGGGAGCAAAACGGGAUUAGAUACCCCGGUAGUCCUAGCCCUAAAACGAUAAAAUGCUUGGUGUGGCGGGUAUCGAUCCCUGCCGUGCCGAAGCUAAACG
rnacentral:rRNA from 1 species